UUCGAUGGUAGGAUAGAGGCCUACCAUGGUGGUAACGGGUAACGGGGUGUUAGGGCACGACACCGGAGAGGGAGCCUGAGAAACGGCUACCACAUCCAAGGAUGGCAGCAGGCGCGCAAAUUACCCAAUCCCGACACGGGGAGGUAGUGACAAUAAAUAACAAUACGGGGUUCUUUAGGAUCUCGUAAUUGGAAUGAGUACAAUUUAAAUCUCUUAACGAGGAACAAUUGGAGGGCAAGUCUGGUGCCAGCAGCCGCGGUAAUUCCAGCUCCAAUAGCGUAUAUUAAAGUUGUUGCAGUUAAAAAGCUCGUAGUUGAAUUUCGGGGUUAGUAGGUUGGUCAUGCCUCUGGUAUGUACUGGUCUCACUGAUUCCUCCUUCCUUAUGAACCGUAAUGCCAUUAAUUUGGUGUUGCGGGGAAUUUGGACUGUUACUUUGAAAAAAUUAGAGUGUUUAAAGCAAGCUAACGCUUGAAUACAUUAGCAUGGAAUAAUGAAAUAGGACGUUCGAUCUUAUUUUGUUGGUUUCUAGGAUUGACGUAAUGAUUAAUAGGGAUAGUUGGGGGCAUUAGUAUUCAAUUGUCAGAGGUGAAAUUCUUGGAUUUAUUGAAGACUAACUACUGCGAAAGCAUUUGCCAAGGAUGUUUUCAUUAAUCAAGAACGAAAGUUAGGGGAUCGAAGACGAUCAGAUACCGUCGUAGUCUUAACCAUAA
rnacentral:rRNA from 1 species